rnacentral:rRNA from 1 species
UACGAAGGGGGCUAGCGUUGCUCGGAAUUACUGGGCGUAAAGGGCGCGUAGGCGGCACAGUUAGUCAGGCGUGAAAUUCCUGGGCUCAACCUGGGGAUUGCGCUUGAGACGGCUGCGCUUGGGGACGGAAGAGGGUCGUGGAAUUCCCAGUGUAGAGGUGAAAUUCGUAGAUAUUGGGAAGAACACCGGUGGCGAAGGCGGCGACCUGGUCCUUGACUGACGCUGAGGCGCGAAAGCGUGGGGAGCAAACAGG